rnacentral:rRNA from 1 species
AUUGAACGCUGGCGGCAUGCCUUACACAUGCAAGUCGAACGGCAGCACGGGAGCAAUCCUGGUGGCGAGUGGCGAACGGGUGAGUAAUGUAUCGGAACGUACCUUUCAGUGGGGGAGUAACGUAGCGAAAGUUACGCUAAUACCGCAUAUUCUGUGAGCAGGAAAGCAGGGGAGUCGCAAGACCUUGCGCUGAUUGAGCGGCCGAUAUCAGAUUAGCUAGUUGGUGAGGUAAAGGCUCACCAAGGCGACGAUCUGUAGCGGGUCGUGAGAGGAUGAUCCGCCACACUGGAACUGAGACACGGUCCAGACUCCUACGGGAGGCAGCAGUGAGGAAUAAUUGGACAAUAGGGCGGCAAGACCUCGAUCCACG